CUCACUACACGUAAAAAUAUCUUUGUGACUGUUUGUUUUUGUAUGUUUCCUUUUUUGAACGUGUACUGUGCUGUUUAAAUUGUGUGACUGAUGUUUAAUAUGUGUGAGCUUCAGCCUAAAUUAACCAGAAGAAAGCAGUGAGAAAAAGCUUCUUCCAAAUUCACCAUAACCUAUACGCAAAGAUCCAGCAUUAAUUAGAAAACUUCGCUUGUCUGUAUAUUAGACUGCUCUGGAGCACACUCCGACAACAGAGGAAUCAGAUGUGUGUGACAGAGCGCAGUGCUGGAAGAGGGAGACAACUCCAACAAUAUUUCGUCAAUACUUCGAAGAUCGUUUCGUCUCCCUCUUGAGUAUAUUGUCAGCAGAAGAGUCAAUUAAGUCUAGAAUUUUAGCACGCACGCUGCUGUGUAAGUGCUAUGCAGGACUUUCACAGGCUGGAAAAGCCUUCGUGCGCCAAAUAUAUCAUCGUCUGUGUAUCGAUGAAAGUGUUGCCGUGAGAGAAAAUGCAGCCAGAAAACUGGACGAGUUUGCGAAAGUGGUGGAGUUAAGCCACUUUGGAGUCGAUAUUAUUCCCAUAUUUCAUAUGCUGCAGAAGGACGAAGAGGAAAUAAUACGUUUGGCAGCUGCUGAAUCGUUAGGGAACAUUUUGGUGCACCAGCGCCUUUCUGACGAAGUCUGCAAGGAGCUCCUUUCAGAGUUGGAAAAGUAUAUUGACGAUCCAUCUCCGAAUGUUCGUUACCUGGUAGUCAGCAAAAUUAUCGAGGUUCUGAGAGGUCCACAGAAAGGCUCGUUUAAGUGAGAUCUCCUCCAAAUACGUGAUGAUUUAGUGAAGACUCUGACAUAGAUAGAUGAACAGCAGCAACACAUCAAUAUCAAGCUUUUCAGUGUGAUCAUCUCAAAAUUUCUGAAGAUAUGUUGAAGGACUCUGGGAAUUAUGUACGGGUAGCCGCAGUUAAUCAGUUGCAAGCCUUUUAGGUGCGUUUUUUUCUCAAAAUUGUUCAAGAUUUGUUUUUGGACUCUUUAAGUGUAAAGAGGGGAGCCGAAGCACAUCAUCUUCAAGUCUUUUAAGUGUGUUAUUCCGAAAUACUAGUUGAAGGACUGUGAAAAUAAGAGACGGGCAGCUGCAGCAUUUCAAUUGCCCGGUUUCUGCAGUGAUCUUGGCAUGGAAGACGCACUCAAGUUAUAUAGAAUGGUACUUUGAUUGACCAAAAUUAUAUUAGUAUUAUGAAGAAUGUGCCUGGUCUUCUAAAUCUGAAGCAAUAAAGCACAGUGUUGCUGUUUCAUUCUGUA